CAGUCUGCAACUCGACUGCAUGAAGUCGGAAUCGCUAGUAAUCNCGGAUCAGCAUGCCGCGGUGAAUACGUUCCCGGGCCUUGUACACACCGCCCGUCACACCAUGAGAGUCGGGAACACCCGAAGUCCGUAGCCUAACCGCAAGGGGGCGCGGCCGAAGGUGGGUUCGAUAAUUGGGGUGAAGUCGUAACAAGGUAAC
rnacentral:rRNA from 1 species